AGUGAACGCUGGCGGUAGGCCUAACACAUGCAAGUCGAACGGCAGCACAGUAAGAGCUUGCUCUUACGGGUGGCGAGUGGCGGACGGGUGAGGAAUACAUCGGAAUCUACUUUUUCGUGGGGGAUAACGUAGGGAAACUUACGCUAAUACCGCAUACGACCUAUGGGUGAAAGCAGGGGAUCUUCGGACCUUGCGCGAUUGAAUGAGCCGAUGUCGGAUUAGCUAGUUGGCGGGGUAAAGGCCCACCAAGGCGACGAUCCAUAGCUGGUCUGAGAGGAUGAUCAGCCACACUGGAACUGAGACACGGUCCAGACUCCUACGGGAGGCAGCAGUGGGGAAUAUUGGACAAUGGGCGCAAGCCUGAUCCAGCCAUACCGCGUGGGUGAAGAAGGCCUUCGGGUUGUAAAGCCCUUUUGUUGGGAAAGAAAAGCAGCAGGUUAAUACCCCGCUGUUCUGACGGUACCCAAAGAAUAAGCACCGGCUAACUUCGUG
rnacentral:rRNA from 1 species